rnacentral:sRNA from 2 species
AUGGAGCUUUGUUGGCAAACAUCCAUCCAUGGUUCUUGAAGAAGCAUGGAGAUAAAGGGGUGUGAGAGGGUCCUCACCACUCACACUCCUCCACUUAAAACAGUUUGUUUUGGCUUAGCUUUGGCUUCUCUAAUCAACAAGGGAUGUGUUCUAACAUUCUCUCUUGAGUGGCAGAAGCAGAUAUGCAUUCUCCAAAGGAGGAGAGGCUUUGGCUACAGCCUGGCAAACCGGCAAGUCACGAAAAGGCAAUGGACUCCAUUGGGGUCUC